UGGAAUGUAGCUCAGUGGUAGAGCGGCUUACAUAUAGCGUGCCAGAGGUUCGAUUCCUUUCAUUCCAUUA
rnacentral:tRNA from 1 species